UAUGAGCUUUCGUGUGCAUGCACACUUCUUCAGAAAAAGUAUCUGAAGAAGUGUGCAUGCACACAAAAGCUCAUA